UCUCUCUCUUCUUCCAAGAAAAAUUUUCAAAUUUCAAAAUUUAAUAACUCACUCGUUCUUGAUUGGAAUUGAGUGAUUCUUGUUUCUAUGAGUUCACAAUGAAGAGGAGAACGAGAUGACACCCAUAUUGCCUAUGGAAUCCAUCACGCUCGGAAGCUCACCGGAGCGCCGCCGUCGUCCGCGCCGUGAGCCGCCAUCUCCGGCGGUGGAGGUCGACACUACUUGAUUCAAAAUGUUGAGGGCGACGUCGGGAUGCUAAGCCCUCAAGAAAUUUUGAGGAAGGAGCUUCUAUUUUUGAGGCUCAUCCCUUGGUCGUAAACAGAGAUCCCAAAUACACAAACUUCGUUGAGAUUGUAAGGAGUUGAAGCUUCUCCUGCACCAGGUGUGGGUUUAGCUUCGAUCUUUGCAGAAGAAAUGCCAUGCUUUCAGAGAAGGGCGUUCAGGCCCCAUCUAGGAAGACGGGUACUACUAUUGUGGGUUUAGUUUUCCAGGUACUCCGUUUUCUCUGUGCUUCUCAUUGUUGUUUCAUUCAAGUUUGUUUGCCUCUCUUACUGCGAAUUUCUCUGUGAAAUAGCGCUGAAAGUUUUAAGACUUUAAGAUUCAUGAAUUUAGUUAGCAUAUUUUGAUAUCAAUCCGUUUGUUAUUUACAUGAAGCUAUGAUGUAGCAUUGUAACUCAUCAGUUACUGCUGCGAAGAACUUUAGGAUACCUUUUGUAUUUAUUCCUUGAAGUAUGUGGGUGAGAUGGGAAGAAAGGGCAGGAUCUUGAACACAUUUUUGCAGUUGCACCAUAUGUAUUGUUGACGUUAUGACUGAAUUCAAAUCAAAUAUAAGAGGCUUUACUUGGAAGUGAUGUUAUAGACGCCAUCUCUCAGUGCAUAUCUGUUUGAACAUAGGAACUGAUUUGUUACCGACGGGAUUACAGGUUCAAUAAUAGGGGACUAUUUGUGCUUGAACUUUAUGUAUUGUCUAAGAAUCUUCUUAAUUGGUAAUGUCGUAGUGAAAUAUGCUUUCCGGCUUUGGCAUCUAUGCAAUUGAAUGUAUGACACCUUGAUUUUUAUGAAUAAAGAUUUGACGUUAUGCAGUUACAUAGAGUAGCAAUUUGGACAAAGGCACAUAAGAAAAAAAGUGGUGAACCUGUCAAUUCAGCAGUUGGUGAAGUCAUUCGCUUUGGGAACAUGGCUGGUGUUUUUCAAGUAAUGGCAUUUGGAGUUCGGGUGUUGGACAAGAAGGAUCUUGAUCCUUCUUUCAAGGCUAAGCUUGCUAAGAUUGCCACGGCUGAGAUGAUUUCCUCCAAGGAGAAAGGCAGGAUAACGUCCCCGUUGUUGGACCAGAACAAGAAACAGAAGCUAGUCGUCAUUUGCCUCAGCCUUAUGUGUUGUAUACACCCAUAGAGAUGUAUAUAUGAUCUUUCGAAUCUGGACUCGUGAAAAUAGGAGUGUGGCUAAGGAGUUGUCACCAGGUUUUUUCCUUUCUUUCUUCUUCAGGUUUAAAUGUAGGCAAUGUAGACUCAUGUUUUCUCCAACUAUCUACAUAACAAUAAAUGUUAAACAGUGGAGAUGGCUUUUUUGUUCAAGCAUUUUGUCAAGGUGGAAGGAUUUACUUCACCAUUGCACUAGUUAGACGUUUUGGAGAGGAUUUCUCAGUUUUCUUUACUUGUUUUGAAUGUUAAGGUCUUGGACAUUGUAUGAAUUAUGUUGUAGACGUAAUUUUAUUGCCAGUUUGGUAGAUAUUAAUAACAAUUGAUAUGUUGAAUGUUUUUAUGUUUUAA